rnacentral:rRNA from 1 species
GACGAACGCUGGCGGCGUGCUUAACACAUGCAAGUCGAACGGAAAGGCCCUGCUUUUGUGGGGUGCUCGAGUGGCGAACGGGUGAGUAACACGUGAGUAACCUGCCCUUGACUUUGGGAUAACUUCAGGCAACUGGGGCUAAUACCGGAUAGGAGCUCCUGCUGCAUGGUGGGGGUUGGAAAGUUUCGGCGGUUGGGGAUGGACUCGCGGCUUAUCAGCUUGUUGGUGGGGUAGUGGCUUACCAAGGCUUUGACGGGUAGCCGGCCUGAGAGGGUGACCGGCCACAUUGGGACUGAGAUACGGCCCAGACUCCUACAGGAGGCAGCAGGGGGGAAUAUUGCACAAUGGGCGGAAGCCUGAUGCAGCAGCGCCGCGUGCGGGAUGACGGCCUUCGGGUUGUAAACCGCUUUCGCCUGUGACGAAGCGGGAGUGACGGUAAUGGGUAAAGAAGCACCGGCUAACUACGUG